AUGGAAGCCGCCGCCAAAUCCCAUGGCCCCCCUGCCCCUCGUCCCUCCCGUCGGGCGAAGCAGCCAAGCACCACCUCUCGCGAGGGCGAAGGAGGAGGAGGAGGCGAUAGAAGGAGAAGACCAUCUCGGCGUGGCGGUACCUCGAAGCGAGGAAGAGGGUGGCAUCAUCAUCUUCUGCGACCUUGCUCCAGCCGGGCCCCCAAUUGGGGGGCGACGCGCGCACGCACAGCGGCGGCAGCGCUCAGUACCACCAACCAAGAUUUGUCAUCAACCUCCGCCGCUCAGAUCCAGAUACUCUCCUCUCGGGGAUGUGAUGAUGAUUCGAAACUAAAGGGGGCACUUUCCCCCUCAACCUGCGCUCAGAUCCAGAUCGUCCCCUCCCGGGGGUAUGACGAUGAAUCGAGUCCAAGGAAGAAACAUCUGCUGCGCCCUAGUCUCUCCAUCAUCCAGAAGCGAGGAAGAAGGCGGUCUCAUCAUCAUCUUCUGCGACCUUGCUCCAGCCUGCCCGACGAUUCGAAUAUACCAGGGCAGAAACAUAUGCUGCGCCCUUGUCUCUCCAUCCAGCCGCCCCCAAAUUAUUACUGUUGGGGAGCAAAACGCUCGCCGACGAACAACAACAACUGGAGGGACUGGUCCAAUCUAGGCGAUGGGCCGGCAGGACUGAUCGCCGAGCUCGUUCUCGCAUAUGACGUCGCCGACUAUCUCCGCUUCCGUGCCGUGUGCCGUCCAUGGAGGCAGUGUUCCACAGAACCACGCUCCCACGACGGGCUCGACCGCCGGUUCUAUCCUUGGCGGUGGGUCCUGCUCCGUGAACCACUCGCUGCUCCCAACCGCCGUUGCUUCCUGAACUCCUCAACCGGUGAGUGCAUCCAACUGGAUCUCCCGGAGCUCCUUGACCAUGAGCUGCUCACCGUCACCCCGGAGGGCCUCCUCCUCCUGCUCCACGACCGCAACCACGUCCGCCUGCUCAACCCGCUCACUCGUCACCUCACAGAGCUACCACCGCUCACCACGCUGCUUCCCUCCAAGGACCAUGUCAUGCUUUCCCGUUUCAAGAUAGACGACUUGGCGUCCUGCUCGGGCAUUGCUAGUGAUGAUUCAACAGUGGUGCUCUGCUUCAAUAGGUUCCGCAUGCUUGGCAUGGCCAAGCCUGGUGAUGACCACUGGGUGUUGCUGAAGUACAACAAUGAUGGGAUUGCAAAAACGCCCUUGGUGUUUGCAGGGCGCUUCUACCAUGUUAACGUCAAUGGUGUCAUGGUGCUGCAAAUCAUUCCAAAUCAGCCACCGCGGCUGGAGGUGGCUGCCAAGCUGAAUAUGCAUGUCUCUCCAAUUUCGCAAAGUAUGCACCUCGUCAACAAUUUUGGUGAGCUGAUGCUGGUGCACCGUCAGAUUGUACCAGUGACAUCGCGGAAUAAAUCGGGUUAUCGGUACAACAUCUAUCGAGUGAAUUUGGAUACCGGGACACUAUUCCCGGUCAAGAGGUUGGGCAGUGGCACGGGGCGAGCGAUGUUCUUGGGAAUGUAUUGCUCUUUCACAUUGUCUCCAGAUGUUUUUCCCCCUGGCUCCUUUAGCGCUGACACCAUCUACCCGAGCUUUGACUUUGCCGAGAGAAGGCUGUUAAAAGUUGAAGCGUAUCAUCUCACCGAUGGACUGUUAAAAGCUGAAGCCUAUCAUCUCGCCGAUGGCCGCGUCGAACAACCAUCUAGCUUGGUGCAGCGGCCACCUUGUCAAUUACGGUUGAUCCUUAAUUUACCACAUUUCUUUUGA
rnacentral:rRNA from 1 species